ensembl:lncRNA
GAGGUUGCCUCAUUAGCCAGGAUUCAGGGGAAGAGAGGGUGGGAGGAUUGAAGACAAGAGAAGGUAUGAAAUGUCAUUUCAGAAAUCCGGAGUGUUCGAAAGGAAAGCACAGCAGGUGUGUCAGGAGCGUGUUCCCGGGCAGUUGAAGAUCAUAGCUUUCAUUGAAACCAGUCAGCCUAGUCCGUGAUCGUUGAUCAGCAGCUGGAGUUGCUCAGGGUAGGCACAGAAAAGGCAGAGUGGGCUUCAGUCGUGACUGACGGGUACGGGGGAGGAGUAAACAACAAGAGAAAGUGCAAAGGUAGGAGGGGAAGGUGGGCCCGGGGGUUCAGUGAAAGAAAUGGCGGAAAAACAGAGAGACUGAUGGGCUGAGAAAGAGCAAGAAACAAGGGAUGCGAAGUCCUGCAGACAUGUGGGUUGGAGGAGAGUGAUGAAGGCAGCCUCUCCAGGCCCUGCAGUCAUACAUCCCUGCAAAGUCAGCCAAGCAGACUCUCGCCAAACUCCCAUCUCUACAACGGUGAGGAGAAGAAGGAAGACAGAAGAUGCUGUGCCCUGCUGGGUCUCGACGGGAAGAAAUGGGCAAGAGGCCUUCACACGCUUUACAGUGUUAGUGGUUUGCUGUCCAAUCUGUAACAUUUUAGUGGCUAAUGGGCAGUCUUUCUCUGUAACACUGUGAGGUUUCCAAAACACAAAAUCAUGCCAGGAAAAACGAGGGAGAUUAUAAUUAUUCCCCAUAAAUACUGCAAGAUUAAAACUAUACAUAUAAGCAGCAAAACAUUGUUUCAAGACAUUGUCACCUAUAGUUACGUAUGUUACAUUCAUGAUAAGCCUGCUGGCCUCUUUCUCUAUUUCUACUGAUGCUCUCGAGUACAGAAAAUCCUAGUGAUGCACUCAAAUGACUUGGCCAAAGGCAUAGGGGAAACUUGAACCUCUGUCUUCUUACCCCCAGCCCAGUUCUACUUCCUGGAGGUCUGCAAAUUUUUGUAAACUGUCCUUGGGUCAUAUGUGGUGUGGAGAAAACACACUUAAGAUACUCCAGUGGACCUGUCCCACCCUUGGAUGCAAUCCUGCGGCCAUCCCAUCAUGGUAUCAGGCUGGAGAAAUGACUCCUGAGAAAAGACCUUCAGUGUAAACACUGCACUCCAAUAGGCCCACAUUGUGAAGGGUGUUGAGACUUUUGGAACAACCAUAGCUUUCAGUAGAAUCAGUACUUGUAGCCCUCAGAUGCUAGACUGUCAACCAGGGGCCAGCUUUUAGAACAAAGAUAAAAACAAAUGUAAAAAUCUUGACUAGAUUAUGUUCUCAAGGGCAGAACCUAUUUUAUUCAUCUUUAUCUUGCCCACAUCUGGCAUGGUACCUGGCAUAUACAGGGAACUUAAAUAUUUGCGGGAUAAUUACAGAAGCAGCACACACAGGAAACUUAAAUAUGUGUUGGGUAACUACAGAAGUAGAAGACUGAUGUUUAAAAACAUAAAAAGCAGUAACUGCUCUGGUUGAUAAAGAGGAAGACAUACAUUUGCAUAAAGAUUCUUUCUUAUGUGCAAAACAUAUGCAUUUUCUGAGAUGAAUUGAAAUAUAAUUAAAAGCAGUGACUUCAAAGCCCAGGUUUGUGUCCAAGACAGGUUAGGCUUGUUCAAACCCUCUCUUCAAUCUUUUCAGGCUGCAAUCAACUGCCUCCACAUCUUUAUUUUUUUUAAAGAUUUAUUUAUUUAUUUGAAAGUCAGAGUUACACAGAGAGAGGAGAGGCAGAGAGGGAGAGAGGUCUUCCAUUCGAUGGUUCACUCCCCAAAUGGCCACUAGAGCUGGCGCUGCACCUAUCUGAAGCCAGGAACCAGGAGCUUCUUCUGGAUCUCCCAUGUGGGUGCAGGGGCCCAAGCACUUGUGCCAUCUUCUAAUACUUUCCCAGGUCACAGCAGAGAGCUGGAUUGGAAGUGGAGCAGCCAGGACUAGAACCGGUGCCCAUAUGGAAUGCUAGUGCUUCAGGCCAGGGCAUUAACCCACUGUGCCACAGCGCCAGCCCCAACAUCUUUAUUUUUAAGUAUCUGUUACAGCCACACCUACUUCCACAUACCAAGAUCUGUAUGACUUACAUUUUUAUCACGAAAUAAGCACCUGCAAACAACCUUUGCCUUCUCAUAGUUUCUGUGGGUCAGGAAUUGAGGGGUGGCUUGGUGGAGAACUCUGAUACAUGGUUUUCAUAAGGACUACAUCGGGGGAGACAUGUUGGCCAUGGUUCAGGUCUUCUCUAUUGGCUGGCCUAAGAUGUCAGUUCCUUUACACAUGGAUCUUUUCAUAGAGAAGUUCACAACUUGACAGCUGGCUUCCCUCAACCCAAAACAGCGCACAAGAAACAGUGUGCAAGACAGGAGCUGCAACCUUCUCAUAAGGAAGUGACCAAUCUCUAUUUCUGAUGUGAGUCACUAGGUCUGCACAUAAAGUAAGGGGAAGAGAUCAAAAGAACGACAACAAAUCUAGCCUGAAGAUCGAAGUAUCUUUUCUAGAGUUGGGCAAGAACCAUAUACUAUAAAACAGAAGGAAUCUUAGGAUGAGCUGAGCAUAGGACGUUGGCUUCACAAGACAGCAAAAGGCAGGGGAGAGCAGAAGCUGAGAACAAGAAGUGGAUUGUGGGGCGGAGCCAAGAUGGCGGAAUAGUGAGGGCGCGCACCGAUAGUCCGGGAAAAUUUAGUUUAAUAAAAAGGGAGUUACGGUAGCCGCA